rnacentral:rRNA from 1 species
AGAUGGCGACCGGCGCACGGGUGAGUAACACGUAUCCAACCUGCCGAUAACUCGGGGAUAGCCUUUCGAAAGAAAGAUUAAUACCCGGUGGUAUAAUCAGACCGCAUGGUCUUGUUAUUAAAGAAUUUCGGUCAUCGAUGGGGAUGCGUUCCAUUAGGCAGUUGGUGAGGUAACGGCUCACCAAACCUUCGAUGGAUAGGGGUUCUGAGAGGAAGGUCCCCCACAUUGGAACUGAGACACGGUCCAA